AAAAGAUCUUAGCCUGCACCCUUCUUGUGGACUGCUUGCGGGCCACAACCAGGGACGAGGCUGAAUUCCCCGAAAUGGGAAUAACAUCAUGUGAACUGUUCUGUCUCUGGCGGUGGGAUGGCUAAAAACCAUCUGUCAGCAUCCGAGAUUUCUCUCGGUGUGCCGUGGACAAGCCGCCAACGUUGUAUGUUUCAUACAAACUUUUUGUUUCAUUAAAAUUGUCUGACCUACCUUUGUAUCUAAAAUAUACAAAAA
rnacentral:misc_RNA from 1 species